CUCCCCGCCUCUUCCGCCCCAGGCGUGGCCCGAGAGUCCGGAUUGCGCAAAGGCGCCCUUUCUCUCAUAGGCUACUGAGAAGUGACAACGUGCCAGCAGCCCUCGCUCGCUCUCCUUGGCCUCCGCGUCCGCUCUGGCCACGCUGUAAGUGCCCUUCAGCACGCGGCUGCGCUGUGGGGGCCCCUCUCUGGGGCUGGCCGAGGCCGGAGCCGGCUCCGUCUGCUCGCUGGGAGGUGUGGAGGGAGAGGCGCGGGCGGGAGCCGGGGCUGCGUGGGGCGCUCGCGGUCCGGCGCAGUUUCCGGGCGGGCGCGGCCCGCCGGCUCUUGUUGGGCUUGAUCAGGGGAAGUGCCCCCUCUAGGCUGCCGGAGUGCCCGGGACUAGGUGCUGCAAAGUCCCGCGGCCAGUGCCAGUGAGAAGUGAAGCCGCCUAGGCUUCUGGGACGAGUGGGGACUUGGAGAACGUUUCUGUAUGGCUGAAGGAUUGUAAACGCACCAAUCAGCACUCUGUGUCUAGCUAAAGGUUUGUAAACGCACCAAUCAGCGCUCUAUGUCUAGCUAAUCCGGUGGGGACUUUGAGAACUUUUCUGUCUAGCUAAAGGACUGUAAACGCAUCAAUCAGUGUUCUGUGUCUAGCUAAAGGUUUGUAAAUGCACCAGUCAGCACUCUAAAAUGGACCAAUCAGCAGGAUGUGGGUGGGGCCAGAUAAGGGAAUAAAAGGCCAGCGGAGCCAGCAGAGGCAACCUGGUAGGGGACCCUUAGCAUGCUGGAGAAGCUUUGUUCUUUUGCUCUUGGCAAUAAAUAAUGCUGCUCACUGGGUCCCAGCUGCCUUUAUGAGCUGUAACACUCACUGCAAAGGUCUGCAGCUUCACUCCUGAAGCCAGCGAGACCACGAACCCACCAGAAGGGACGAGUAACUCCAGACAGGAGGAACAAACAACUCCAGAUGGACCACCUUUGUGAACUGUAACACCACAAAGGUCUGCAGCUUCACUCCUGAGGCCAGUGAGACCAUGAAGGAACCAACGACUGGAAGGAAUGAACAACUCGAGACGCACUGUCUUUAAGAACUGUAACACUCACUGCCAGGGUCCAAGGCUUCAUUCUGAAAGUCAGCGAGACCAAGAACCGACCAAUUCUGGACACACUACUGUUACAUCCUUUGCCGAAUCCGUUUACUUGUUUUAAAGCAAAGGCUAGCGUGAUGGUAGCUACAUGAACAACUCCCACUUAAAUCUGAGAGAUUUUGGUAACUUUUGUUGUCUACUCUCCCUCCCUCUGUUCUAUGUAUUCCACCAUAGAACAACAAAACACUCUGCUCAGUGGAGGUGUGUUCUUUCACAUACCAAAAUUUCAAUAUGAUGGAUCAGUUGGGUUCAGAACGUUUACGUUGGUUUCCCUUUUUUGCAGAAGAUAUUUUACUUAGUAGGGUGAAGAAAAUGAAGCUACCUAAAAAAAUUUAAAAACAACUUGUUAAUAACUAUUUUAAAGUUAAUGAAAGAAGUAGGCACUCUUUCCCCCAACACGCAAUAUGUCUGAUAUUUUAUUAAGCAGGUUAUACUCCUUUCGGGCUCUCCAUCCAGAAAUCUGAGAGCUUUGAGCUUCAGCUUUCACUUCCAGAAGUUCAAACUCCUUCUGUUGCAUCUCCCCAGACCAGCUUGAGAGAUUUAAGUUGAUCUUUCCCAGGAAGAUGCCAUUUAAAAACCUUUCAGGGAAACAAGUAGUUCCUGGCUUCUUUCUUCACAGGCUUACAGAGCAUAAAUAUUUUAACCAUUAGUACUGUUACAAAGUACCUUUCCUCUUAACCAAAGAAGUGAUCUAACAGAAGAGGCACAAUAGGCUUCCCUUUAAGAACUAUUAGAUGGAACCAUUGUUAACCUAAGAGAGAUGACAGAGUGUUCCCAAAAGUCAUACUUUCAUAUUUACAAGCUAUCUUGUAUUCUAACUCUCCAGUUGAAAUAUCAAGAUAAUUCUGGUGCAGAACAAUUAUGGAGAUCAAAAUGGAUCAACAUAGGUAGAAUACAAAUGGGUCCUGGGGCCCUACAAAAGGGCAAGGUAAUGACAAGUCAUAGCAAGAAGAUUCAGAAUUUCGACAAGAAUUUAUGUUGGUGCUAGUUCCCAAUCCAACAUGCUCUUUCCUAUCAGCAGAGACUGGUAGUUUUAGGAUCACUUGGGAGUAUGGUCAGUGUAAGCUACCCUAUUAUCAAUGAUAGCAUUAACUAACUUUUUCUGAGCAUGUACUACAUGCCAGACAUCAUUGUAUUGCUCUGUUCUAAUGGGGGUAGUUGUCUUGCCAUCCUGGACAAGAGUGCUUUUUAACUCUUUAUUCAGAAGGUUAUGGAGAUGCAAGUUGCUGUUUUUUUUUCCCUGAAUCUCUGUGUUUCCUUUUUCCUUGAUUAUAUUCACUUAAAUAUG